rnacentral:rRNA from 1 species
UACGAAGGGGGCUAGCGUUGUUCGGAUUUACUGGGCGUAAAGCGCACGUAGGCGGAUCGUUAAGUCGGGGGUGAAAUCCUGGAGCUCAACUCCAGAACUGCCUUCGAUACUGGCGAUCUUGAGUCCGGAAGAGGUGAGUGGAACUCCCAGUGUAGAGGUGGAAUUCGUAGAUAUCAGGAGGAACACCAAUGGCGAAGGCAGCUCGCUGGGACGUGACUGACGCUGAGACGCGAAAGCGUGGGGAGCAAACAGG